GGCCGCAGCCCGAGGGCAACCGCCCCCAUCCCCCCGCGCGCCCCGGGCACCUGGGGCCCGCGCCUCCCGUCUCCAACCGACUCGUCCUUCCCACCGCUUCCCCCAAGCAGUGCGGGCCCUGGGCGCCCGCACCCUGUCCCUUCGGCAGAGUCGCGUCGCCUCCCGCAACCCCGGUGUCCUCUUCUGCCAAGCGCAGGUGAGGAGAGGGAGCUGGCGGGGUCGCGAGAGGUGUUGGAGGGACGGGUCCGCGAGACGCGCCUGACGGCCUGCGUGCCCCUUCUUUCUAAAUGUUCUCAGUGUGAUGCUGUCUGAGACAUGUCCCAAGGGAUAAGGAGAAUAAAGAAGCCCCUCCCCCACCGCGGAGUCCCGCAGGAAUCUUUGGGGUCCUCCCAUCCUCCUUGCCCUGGGGCCCCCUUCUCUCAGCUGGAGCCCUGGCACUGCCCUCCCCCCGCCCCCCGCUGGAGGAAAGGCCUGGAACAGUCAGGAUGGGCUUCGUGUGCCAGCCACCGCGCCCUGGGGGAGACAUUAUUGGCUGCAUUUUGCAGUGGGAAGGACCCAGAUGGCACAGUCAGGCAGGACCGGACUGGAGUUCUGGCUCCCGAUACUACAAAUGACCUUGGACAAGUUAUGGCACUUUCUGAGUCUCUUUCCUCGCCUGUGGAAUGGAAUAACAAUACCUACUUCCAUGCGUUGUGAGAAUUCAAUGAGAUGAUGCAAUUAAAAUGCCUCUUAGCACCCAGUAUACGAUAGAAGGCUGCGUACAACAUCUGCUAUUCUGCCUCUUGCAUUUUUCACUUAAUAAAACAUCCUGGAAAUGCAUCGCUCCGUCGAAGCACACAGGUAUCAUCUUCCUUCGUUGUCACAGCCGCAUGGCACUCACCUGUGUGGACAUACCAGCGUUUAUUUCAUCAGCCCCUUACUGAGGAAUGUUUCUGCCCCGUGGAUGGGUUGCUUCCAACCUUUUGCUUUUACGAAGAGUGCUGCAGUGAAGCCUUUUUGUAUUUUUUGCCAUUUCUGCCUCUUUCUACCUCUGCGGCCUUGGGCAGGGUCCUUCACCUCUCCAAUCUCAGUGUCUCUACCCGUAAAAUGGAGGCAAGUCAGCAGCCCCCUCCCUGGGAGGUGGCGAGGAAUAGAUGAGCCACGUGCACAAGGCAGACAGCAGAGGGCCCAUCAUUGCCAGAAGCAAAUGUUAAACAACACUUAUUGGUUACUAUUAUUCAUUGUUCGUGCCUCGGAGCUUCAGGCUCCUCUGGCAGAGACCCUGACUUGGGAAAGGGUGUUCCUGUGGUCUCCAGGGACUCAGGUUGGGGCCUAUGGGCUCAUUUCAGACUUUCCUGUGCUUCCUGUGGCUCUCCAUUUGCCAAGGAGCUAGGAGAAUCCCCAAGGAUAAAGCAUCAGCUAUUGCUGGCUGGUGAAAAUUUCCAGGGAAGGAAAGCCUUAGCUUCCCACAGAAGCCAGGUCGCCCAUUUCUGCACCUGAAAGGUGCAAACUUUGCUCCCUCCCGCCACAGAACCGAAGGUAACACACAGCCAAUCCCCCUCCCUGCCUUAGAUGGGCAGCCAGGGAGGUACACGGACCACUCAGCAUGAAUCACACACUCCGUGCACUAUGUGGCACACGUAACAUACGGGUGAACAUGGUCCCCACCCUCUGAGGAGGCACAAGCCAAACAUGAUGUGCCCUGUCCACACGUAACACCCUGGUGGAAAAGGACUGGGUUGGGUUUCCAGGAAGGAGCAAGGUAGGGGGAGGGAAAGGCUAGGGCAGAAACGGCCACUGCUUUCCACUGUUUGGGCACAGUGAAAACAGCACCAAACUUAGAGUCAAGAGACCUGGGUUCCAUUGCUAUCUCCCUCACAUUUGUUGGAAUUGUGGGAAGGUUGUAGGGUAAAGUGGUUAAAAGAAAUAGGAAUGUCUUACUCACAUAGUCUUGACUCGGAUAGAACUGGGUUCCAGUUUCUAGCAGGAAAGACCAGACAACCUGAUUACUCUGAGCUUCACUUUCCUCAUCUGUAAAAUGGGCACAGUAACAUCACCUCCCUUAGAUUCUUGUAAGCAUUAAAUGAGAGGACGUAGAUAAAGGGUUUAGCUCAGUGCGUGACACAUAGUAAAUGCUCAUGUAGUGGAGACUGCUCUUAGGAUGAUGAUGGUGGUGAUGAUGUAUUAACAUGUGAGUAUACUUCGAAAAGUCUAAGGAGAUGAUGAUGGUUAUCAUAACUGCUUUCCUGUAGCACUUUAGAGUUUGCAUUUGUUUAGUGCACUCCCUUUUUCAAAGGGCAACUGUAUGCAUCUGGGCUUCACAGUAAUCUCCAGGUAGAGGUUCUGAUUCAUCCCCUCCUAACUGAUGGGAAGCGGAGUCCAGAGAGGUUGAGUGGCUUGUCUAGCCCACCUGGCUUAGGAGCAGCAGAGCUGGACCUCAGCCCUAGAGGAGGCUUCUCUGGCUUUUUUUUAAAGACAGAGUCUCACUCUGUUGCUCUGACUAGAGUGCCGUGGCAUCAGCCUAGC